rnacentral:rRNA from 1 species
UACGUAGGGGGCAAGCGUUAUCCGGAUUUACUGGGUGUAAAGGGAGCGUAGACGGCGAUGCAAGCCAGAUGUGAAAGCCCGGGGCUCAACCCCGGGACUGCAUUUGGAACUGUGUGGCUGGAGUGUCGGAGAGGCAAGUGGAAUUCCUAGUGUAGCGGUGAAAUGCGUAGAUAUUAGGAGGAGCACCAGUGGCGAAGGCGGCUUGCUGGACGAUGACUGACGUUGAGGCUCGAAAGCGUGGGGAGCAAACAGG